rnacentral:tRNA from 1 species
GGGCGCGUAGCUCAGUUGGACAGAGCGUCGGACUUCUAAUCCGGUGGUCGUGGGUUCGAAUCCCACCGUGCCCG